rnacentral:rRNA from 1 species
AUUGAACGCUGGCGGCAGGCUUAACACAUGCAAGUCGAGCGGGGGAAGGUAGCUUGCUACUGGACCUAGCGGCGGACGGGUGAGUAAUGCUUAGGAAUCUGCCUAUUAGUGGGGGACAACAUCUCGAAAGGGAUGCUAAUACCGCAUACGUCCUACGGGAGAAAGCAGGGGAUCUUCGGACCUUGCGCUAAUAGAUGAGCCUAAGUCGGAUUAGCUAGUUGGUGGGGUAAAGGCCUACCAAGGCGACGAUCUGUAGCGGGUCUGAGAGGAUGUUGCGCCACACUGGGACUGAGAGAGGGCCCAGAGGCCUACGGGAGGCAGCGGUGGGGAAUAGUGGACAAUGGGGGGAACCCUGGUCCAGCGAUGCCGCGUGUGUGAAGAAGGCCUUAUGGUUGUAAAGCACUUUAAGCGAGGAGGAGGCUACUCUAGUUAAUACCUAGGGAUAGUGGACGUUACUCGCAGAAUAAGCGCCGGCUAACUCUGUGCCAGCCGCCGCCGUAA